rnacentral:SRP_RNA from 1 species
GCCGGGCGUGGUGGCGGGCGCCUGUAAUCCCAGCUACUUGGGAGGCUGAGGCAGGAGAAUUGCUUGAACCCGGGAGGUGGAGGUUGCAGUGAGCUGAGAUCGCUGCACUCUAGCCUGGGUGACAGAGCAAGACUCGGUCUAAA